rnacentral:lncRNA from 1 species
GGGUUGAUUGGAUUAAGUAAAUUAUUAUAUAAUUUUUAAAUGGUUAAGCAUUAGAGAUGUUUUGUAGAAUAUAACAGUAUUGAAAAGGCAUGGACAUUUAGAUAUUCGGUUUGGGUUGGACCUGAUUGGAUACGGAUCUAUCGAGUAAAUGAAUUUUAUAUCCAAUAGAUAUUAAGUAAUUUCAGGUUUGAGUUUUGUGUAGGAUACAACCAGUUCCAGUUCAGUUCCGAG